rnacentral:rRNA from 1 species
CAGCAGCCGCGGUAAUACCGGCGGCCCGAGUGGCGGUCACUAUUAUUGGGCUUAAAGCGUCCGUAGCCGGGUUGGGAAGUCCUCCGGGAAAUCUGGCCGCUUAACGGUCAGAAUGCCGGAGGAUACUCCCAGCCUAGGGAGCGGGAGAGGCCGAGGGGCUUCCCGGAGUAGGGGUGAAAUCCUAUAAUCCCGGGAGGACCACCUGUGGCGAAGGCGCUCGGCUGGAACGCGUCCGACGGUGAGGGACGAAGGCCAGGGGAGCAAACCGGAUUAGAUACCCGGGUAGUCCUGGCUGUAAACGAUGCGGACUUUGUGUCGGACAAGCUAUGAGCUUGUCCGGUGCCGGAGGGAAACCGUUAAGUCCGCCGCCUGGGGAGUACGGCCGCAAGGCUGAAACUUAAAGGAAUUGGCGGG